CCCCCGGAGCGCGGCGUCGGCCCCGAGGCUCUGCCCGCGCGCGCCGGGCGGGGGCGGCACCGGGUCCGCAGCCCCGCGCUGCCCUGUCGUGGAAACGCUUUUUCCCGUUUGUUUCAGGAGAACCAAGGCCCAGGACAGUCCUCACGAGGAAGCGCGUAUGUGCUGAGUCGGAAGCAUUUAUGGUUGACAUGAGGUUGGUUCGCUCUGGGCUUAAGAAAAGUUGUCGCUGUCUCCACCGAUAAAGUCUUUUCAACGGAAAAUUGAAACAGGCCGUAUACUGCUUAGCUUCUCAGUCCAGAAGAACUACAACAGGUGGAAAUUGUCUCCUGAGUAAGCAGACUCCAAAAAGUGACAAACCAUACUAUGGAUCAUUACCUAAAGAUUUUUAAUUUAUUCAUGAGAGACACACAGAGAGAGAGAGAGGCAGAGACACAGGCAGAGGGAGAAGCAGGCUCCAUGCAGGGAGCCCGACGCGGGACUCGAUCCUGGGACCCCGGGGUCACUCCCGGGGCCGAAGGCAGACACCCAACCACUGAGCACUCGGGUGCCCCCAUGGCGUGGAAAUCUGCGAUAGGCUGAAGGUCUAUUUCAGGAUUGAUUCAUUAAUCAUCCCCGUCUCAAUUCACGAGAGUGAGUUUCUAGCAGCAUGUUUGUCCAAUGGACGCGAUCCACUUGGCCACAUUGACGGCUAGGGAAUAUGAAGACACCCCUGGGCCUUCCGACGGGGAUUUGACGGGGAUCGCCCACCGUGGUGCGCACAGUUUCAGAAGGCUCGCGGGUUCCAGGCUCACCCGUGACUCUCAGCUCAAGAAGCUCCUUGCUGGUAACAGUCAUGUCUACUCGUUGUGUCUAAUUAUGUCUCAUCUGCAUAAUAUUGCUCCUGUUUUCGCCUAAUACCCUAUUACAUCUCGGAAGUUCUAGCUUUUCCUGACAUGAACUUACAGUAAAAUACAUUUCUAUUUUUACAGUGUUCUUUUGAAAAGUCCAAGGUAUGUAUUUAAUUAAAAAUGCAAGAUUUUCCUUUAAGAAGUUCUUCAAGGUGGGGCACCUGGGUGCUCAGUGGUUUGGUUGAGCAUCUCCUUAGGCUCGGGGCUUAAUCUCCGGGGUCCUGGGGGGGAGUCCUGCACCCCGCUCCCUGCGGGGAGCCUGCCUCUCCCUCUGCCUGUGUCUCUCAUCAAUCAAUAAAUAAAAUCCUUAAAAAAUGCAUUUCUGCAAGGUAGCAUUACUCCCUUGAUACAGAACAGCUAGGGAAGGGGGGUCGUCCUCCCUGGCUGCACAGGGGCCUGGAGCCACCUGCGUUAGGCAGGGUCGAAGGUGCUGCUGUCGCUGAGCAUCUGCCUGCCAGCCGUCGCCGCCCCUCAAGGCCACCGCGGAGGGGCCUGUCCUGUCCCCACAUCCCGGGUCCCCGCGGCCCGGCCUCCCCAGCUCCAGGGCCCUCAGGUCCUGGCUUCGGGCGCUUGGCAAGGGAGAUGCUAUCCCCACUGUUCAUUUGCCAGGAAAGGUCAAGCAAUUGGCUUAAUGCCCUGAAACCCCUGACGUGCAGGGUCGCGGCCUGAACCCAGAAUGUUCUGACUUCAAGACUCUCGUGCUUGACCGCUCGGUCCUCCGCUCCCCUUGCGCUGGCGAUGGUGCAGAGAGGCUCAACGUGGGCAAGGGACAUGGCCCCUGGCCACCUUCCCACCUGCCUGCGAGCUCCCGGGGCGUGUGGCCGAGGAGCUGCCUGGACCCACGCAUCUGGGCGGGUGAGCAGGUGCACUCACUGGAGCUGAUAGGGUGGGACAGGUGAGCAGAGGCGUCCACCGGAGUGGAUGGGGUGGAGCGGCCCAGGGCAGGAGGCGGACCCACGGGGGGAGCGCAGGCCGACAGGUCACCGAGCAGGAGCCCAGGUGAGGCCUGCUAGGCGCCGCCCCUGUGACCCUGGUGCCCCCCCCGCCCCCGCCCGUCCCUGCGGCCCAGCUGUGACCCUGGGGGGCACCAGGAGGACCGUGCCCGACCCUGGGAGCACCGGGAGGACCGAGGGCAGAGGCCCCCCCACAGCUGAUGGUGCCCUAGGGGGCGGGGGGAUGGGGGGUGGGUGCGGAAGGCAGGGGUCGGCCCCCCCUGCCCUCCUUGCCCUCCCCGCUCCCCCCGCCCCACUGCUCCCAGGGACUAGGGGGCCCUGGGCCCCUGUGCACCCAGGAGGCUCCGAGGCCAUUCCGCUGUGGCCACACGCCAGCGCCUCUCCAAACACCAGCGACUUUUCUAGAAGAGCAGGUAGAGGCCGCGCUCUGCACCUUUUGCUUUGACUGAACAUCAAGGGCAACACUCCGGGGCCCCGAGGCCGCAGUGACUGUGGCUGGACGUGCUCGGGCUAAGGCAGGACCUAGCAGCAUCCCACAACCCCGAGCAGGUAGCAGGUGUGAACAGAGAUUUUGACCACUCUGCAUUGCAUAAAAGGCUUUGCGACAUAUACUAUUUAACGAAAUACUUGUUCAGGGGAAGCUAUUCCAUUUGGUUCUGGAACUUGGGGACGUCCCAUGGCUGCCUUGACUCCAGUGGGUUUUCUUGGCAUUAUCGCAUUUCUAGGCAGGACCUUGUUUCUGGAAACACUAAAUCUCUUUAUUUGGAAGAACUCACAGCAGCAGAAAUCUCACCGAAUCGAAACUGAAUAUGUUAGGUCAGAGUCUAACAAACCUCCACGCGGGGACUCCAGAGGCCCCCCGGCUCCGCGGGGGUGAGGGAACAUUGGUAGAGGCAACACGGAAGCCUGAGCCCACUCAUCGUUCGAGUGGCGCCCCGUCCCUCAGUUCACUGUCCUUUUGCAAGAGGCCGGGCCCAGGGGCGCUUUGGAAGGCCUGCUCGGGCCGCGGGAGGGGCCGGGCGCACUGGGAGCCGGGCACUUUGCCUCCUUACCACGACCGCGUGGGCUGCUUCUUGCUCAGACGAGUGGACACGAGGACGAGGCCGCGUCCGGAAGACUCCGGGCGCUGGAGGGGAGCUCCGGCCCGGGACGACGCAGGCCGCGGACGGCGGGGAAAGCAGGUCGGGACGUGGGAGGGUUUGUUGGGUUUGCUUGGUUUGGUUUGUUUACUUGGGCUCCACGCACAACAUGGAGCCCUACGGGGGCUCUCGUGGAGCCCUCAGGACCGUGAGAGCAAGACCUGAGCUGAGGUCAGGAGUCUGAUGCUCAACUGCUGAGCGCCCAGGGGUCCUGGGAGAUGACAAGUCUGUGGACCCAACAUUACCUACUUCGCCGUGUUGCCCGGGAACCUACUGGUUGGAGUCACCCCUGACCUCAGGGAAAACCUGCGAGCGUCUUGUUCCUCGCUCAAUGUCCGAGUGGCUUAAAAUAAAUAUUGUAGCUGUUUUGAAUUUUCCCCUUUCUUGUAGUUAAUUAGAAGGAUCUGAUGGAGGAGAGUGCUCCUUUGCAUGAAACGGGCUCCGGUCCUUAACCUGGUUCUGUCACUAAUGUGCUCUGGGAUGCUGAGCCUAUUAGCCUCUCCGAACGCCCUUUUGUUUCUUUCCAUGUGUAAUAGAAGAGGCCACAAGCCCGUCUUGCAAGGUUAAUGUGAGAACUAAAUAAAACAGCGUGUGGCUGAAGGCUCCGCGGGAUACCUCGAGCGCAAACACUACAUUUCUUCCCCGUAAGGCUGCCUUUCCCUUGCAAUCCCGGAGGGACAGUCACGGUGGGGAGCAGGCCUUGGGGCAUCCUCAGGGGCCCUGCAGGCCUCCUCGGCGCAGCCCACACCUCGAGGCCCGAGGCUGACUCAUUCUCUCAGGGGACCUGGGAGCAGCAGAAACGGCCUUGGGUCUCCGCCAACUAGAGCAGAUCCUUUCCAGAGCCGCCGAGGCCCAAGGCGUCUCCCUGGACUCGGACCAGCCGUGAGUGGACGAGGCCCGGCCUCGCGGUAGUUUCCAGAGAACUCAGCCAGGGGCCUCCCAGGCCUGUGAUGCUGGUCCCUUCUUCCUCAGAGCUAUUUCUGUGAAGUCAUCAAGGCAUUUUGAAGCAGAAAGUCCUCACGGAGAGGAUGUUUCCCACCCGUAUUCCCGCCCGUAACACAUCGGCCAGGCUCAGAGUCCUCUGCACACUCUACCCCCUAAGCCUUCACGAAUUACCGCUCAAGCCGGAAGCAGUGAUGACUUAUUUGUUCGUGUUCCUUAAUUGAAUGUCUUUUGAGAUGAAAAAAAAAUCAAUAGCUAUCCCAGCAGCCGUCUAAUACAUUCUAGAAUUAACUGCAGCCUCUCUCAUUUGCAUGGUUAAAAGCACUUUCAGAAACCAUAGGGAUAAGGAGAAAAAAUAACUGGGGACUUACCAUGGGUUGACGCGUACAUUCAUUUUGGUGCUUGUCUUCGGGAUGGUCAGAGUUUCUGAGACGAUAUUUUUAGUAGAUGUGUCAAUUCCUUUACUUUAUGGCCAACGUCUUGGCAAAUAUAGUUCACGUGACCCAGUGUGAGGCUGUAAAACGUGUUAAUGGCCCAUCUAAGGUCAAGCUGGCUCCCCCAUGAAAAGGGAUCAAUCCUGGGUCCUCGGGACACGGAGCGUGCUCCUGGGGGAGGAGCAGGGAGGGUGACCCCGUCCUCCUCCGUGGGGUGCCCUCUGGAAGGCUGCGGAGGCUUAUUUUGCUCUUCAGAUCGUCCUUUCAAGUUUUUCCUUUUUCUUUUCUUUUUCACGUGGCUACUUCAAAGGGGAGUGAAGGCUGGUAGCCUGUGGAUUGGCGGGGCCCCUGGAGCCUCUGGGAGCCCUAGCAGGACCCAGACGGGGCUGUGAGUAAGGAAGGUGUUGGCCAGCUCCUCUCGCCUGCGUGGAAGCUCUUGCCUGGAGUUGGUUUUGUCUCUUCCUGCUUCCGGGGCCGAGGUCUGAGUGUGGGUCUGUAACGAUGAUUCCCAAAAUGCGGCCCGCAGGCCAGCUGCAUCUGCAUCAUCAAAGCACUGGUAAAAAUGCAAGUUCUCAGGCCCCAUCCAGGCCUGUGGAACCACAACUCUGGGGGGGAGCCCAGGAGGUCCUAACAGGCCUACAAGAGGACGUGGACGCAGGCCAAGCCGGAGAGCCACCGGCCUGGGUGGCUCAGCCUACUUCUAGGCUCAGCGUUGAUUGAACUGGGGGGGCCGGGCCUACGCAGCUCCACAGGGGGCACCGGGCCCAGGGACCCUGUACCCCCCAGCCCUGCAGCGCCCUGAGGACCUGCUGCGGAAUCGGACUCCCGCCCCAUCUGCUUCUUGCAGGCGGUGUGGACACCAGCCCUGUGUUCCAGAGCCAGGCCCCCCCAGCCUCCUGCCCCCCGGCCACUGUCCCCGGCCCGACCACAGCCUCCUGCCCACUGCCUUGGUGGCUCUUGCAGGGCCUGAUGCUCGGCGGACAGUGGAGGCAGCGCCCUGGCGCUCAGGCCCCCCAGGACGGCUCUGGCUGCAGGACCCGUUUGGAUUUCUCAGACUUGAGACUUCCCAUCACCGCGUAUUUAAGAGGGGCCGCGAAGUGAGCACGCGAGGCCCCGGAACUACAACAGCUCUUUGCUAGGGAGCUGAGGCCGUGGGAAGGAGGGGGCCUACGGAGAGAGACCUGGGGUGGAUCCCGGCUCUAGCCCCUGCCAGGCCGGCGGCCGGGGGCAAGGGGCCCAACUUCAGCUCGUCAGCUGCAUACGGGGAUAAUAAUAUCUACGUCCCGGAUGGAGCUGACAUGAUCGAUGCUUAAUGGUGAUUUUUAUUAAAUGGUGUUAAUAAAAAAAAUGGUGUUAAUAAAGUGAUAAAGCCAA